rnacentral:rRNA from 1 species
GCAAGUCGAACGGUAACAUUGGUGCUUGCACCAGAUGACGAGUGGCGCACGUGUGCGUAACGCGUAUGCAAUCUACCUUUUACUAGAGUAUAGCCCAUAGCAAUUUUUAUUAAUCCUCUAUAAUAUCUUUUAAUUUCAUGAUUUUAAGAUUAAAGUUUUAACGGUAAAAGAUGAGCAUGCGUCCUAUGAGUGUGGGGGUGAGGUAACGGCGGACCUAGACUACGAGAGGUAGGGGGGCUGAGAGGGGGAGC